UACGUAGGUGCACAAGCGUUGUCCGGAAUUAUUGGGCGUAAAGAGCUCGUAGGCGGUGUGUCACGUCGGCCGUGAAAACCUGCAGCUUAACUGUGGGCGUGCGGUCGAUACGGGCAUCACUGGAGUUCGGCAGGGGAGACUGGAAUUCCUGGUGUAGCGGUGAAAUGCGUAGAUAUCUGGAGGAACACCGGUGGCGAAGGCGGCGUUCUGGACUGUAUCUGACACUGAUAGACGAAAGCCAGGGGAGCAAACGGG
rnacentral:rRNA from 1 species